CUGUCCUGAAAGGUUCUGGUGAGGCUAAGUUUGCAGAGUAAACAUGUCCCCCAAGGCGACAGGAAUGGCGAGGACGACGGGAACUCACCGGAGCUGAGCGAGCCCACAGACGUGGGGAGACCUGUCGCGCCCUCUGGUCCCAGCAGUUUUUUAGGUUAAGUACAUGUUUCCGAGGCAGCAGAUCUCACCUCCCAGGCCCUGCCUUGCUUGUUUCCACACUCUGAGAAGGACACCCACAAGCUGCUGGCAAUGCUUGAGAGGGCUGUGGAACCUUGAGGAGGUACAACGCCACUGAAGGAAAUAGCUCUCCAUGGCUGGGCUUUGAGGCUUUAUAGCCUGGUUUCACUUUCUGUUCACCCCCUGCUUCCUGUUUGUGGAUGCAGUGUGACAAGCCAGCUUUCUGCUCCUGCAUCAUACCUUCUCUGCCACGAGG